rnacentral:lncRNA from 1 species
CUGGGGCCGACGCCGACGCCCUGUGCCGGGAGGACGACGCCGAGCUGGCCCGCCCACGCACCGCCUCUUCGACGGCCCGCGACUUCGUCAGCCGGCAGCUACAGGCGGACUGGCGCGUGUGGAUCGGCGGCGAGAGGCGCGAGAAGCGCCAGCGGCGAUCCGCGUGGAGGUGGACGAACGGCAGCCCCGUGAGCUUCCCCGACGGCUGGCAUCACCGCGACGUGCCCCCCGGGCAGUGCCUGGCACUCCUCGGCGCCGACGACGCCCAGAGCGAGACAGCGGAGUGCGACACCGCCCUGCCCUUCCUCUGCCAGAGGAUUGAGUGACGCGCCCGUCGGGAGGCAGGCAGAAGCGGGGGCGCGGGACACACUGUACUAGGAGGAUGUAUAUAUAUUCUAUUUUAA